UACGUAGGCAGCAAGCGUUGUUCGGAAUUAUUGGGCGUAAAGAGUAUGUGGGUGGUGUCGUAAGUUUGGUGUGAAAUCUCCCGGCUUAACCGGGAGGGUGCGCCGAAGACUGCGAUGCUGGAGUAUGGGAGAGGGAAUCGGAAUUCCUGGUGUAGCGGUGAAAUGCGUAGAUAUCAGGAGGAACACCUGUGGUGUAGACGGGUUCCUGGACCAUUACUGACACUGAGAUACGAAAGCGUGGGUAGCAAACAGGAUUAGAUACCCGUGUAGU
rnacentral:rRNA from 1 species